UUGGAAUGGGGGAGCUGGGAUUGGGCGUGGAGCUUGGAGUCCUCACCCUGUCUGUGCCCCUUCAG
ensembl:miRNA Mir7023 microRNA 7023